GACGAACCGUGCGAACGUUGUUCGGAAUCACUGGGCUUAAAGGGUGCGUAGGCGGCGCGGAAAGUCGGGUGUGAAAUCCCUCGGCUCAACCGAGGAAUGGCGCUCGAAACUACCGUGCUCGAGCAAGGCAGAGGUGAGCGGAACUCAGGGUGGAGCGGUGAAAUGCGUUGAUAUCCUGAGGAACACCGGUGGCGAAAGCGGCUCACUGGGCCUUUUCUGACGCUGAUGCACGAAAGCUAGGGGAGCAAACGGG
rnacentral:rRNA from 1 species